rnacentral:rRNA from 1 species
GCGCAGCAGUCGCGAAACCUUCGCAAUGCGGGAAACCGCGACGAGGGGACUCCCAGUGCCUACGCUCAGCGUAGGCUGUUCCCGAGCCUAGAAAGCUCGGGGAGUAAGGGCUGGGUAAGACGGGUGCCAGCCGCCGCGGUAAUACCCGCAGCCCGAGUGGUGGCCACUAUUAUUGGGCCUAAAGCGUCCGUAGCCGGCCCGGUAAAUGCCUGGGUAAAUCGUGAGGCCUAACCUCACGAAUUCCGGGUAGACUGCCGGGGCUAGGGACCGGAGGAGGGAGAGGGGUACUCCAGGGGUAGGGGUGAAAUCCUGUAAUCCCUGGAGGACCACCGGUGGCGAAGGCGCUCUCCUAGGACGGGUCCGACGGUGAGGGACGAAAGCCAGGGGAGCGAACCGGAUUAGAUA